AGACCCGAAACCCGGUGAUCUAGCCAUGGGCAGGUUGAAGGUUGGGUAACACUAACUGGAGGACCGAACCGACUAAUGUUGAAAAAUUAGCGGAUGACCUGUGGCUGGGGGUGAAAGGCCAAUCAAACCGGGAGAUAGCUGGUUCUCCCCGAAAGCUAUUUAGGUAGCGCCUCGUGAAUUCAUCUCCGGGGGUAGAGCACUGUUUCGGCUAGGGGGCCAUCCCGGCUUACCAACCCGAUGCAAACUGCGAAUACCGGAGAAUGUUAUCACGGGAGACACACGGCGGGUGCUAACGUCCGUCGUGAAGAGGGAAACAACCCAGACCGCCAGCUAAGGUCCCAAAGUCAUGGUUAAGUGGGAAACGAUGUGGGAAGGCCCAGACAGCCAGGAUGUUGGCUUAGAAGCAGCCAUCAUUUAAAGAAAGCGUAAUAGCUCACUGGUCGAGUCGGCCUGCGCGGAAGAUGUAACGGGGCUAAACCAUGCACCGAAGCUGCGGCAGCGACACUAUGUGUUGUUGGGUAGGGGAGCGUUCUGUAAGCCUGUGAAGGUGGCCUGUGAGGGUUGCUGGAGGUAUCAGAAGUGCGAAUGCUGACAUAAGUAACGAUAAAGCGGGUGAAAAGCCCGCUCGCCGGAAGACCAAGGGUUCCUGUCCAACGUUAAUCGGGGCAGGGUGAGUCGACCCCUAAGGCGAGGCCGAAAGGCGUAGUCGAUGGGAAACGGGUUAAUAUUCCCGUACUUGGUGUUACUGCGAAGGGGGGACGGAGAAGGCUAUGUUGGCCGGGCGACGGUUGUCCCGGUUUAAGCGUGUAGGUGUGUGUUCCAGGUAAAUCCGGUUCACUUUAACACUGAGGCGUGAUGACGAGGCACUACGGUGCUGAAGCAACAAAUGCCCUGCUUCCAGGAAAAGCCUCUAAGCAUCAGGUAACAUCAAAUCGUACCCCAAACCGACACAGGUGGUCAGGUAGAGAAUACCAAGGCGCUUGAGAGAACUCGGGUGAAGGAACUAGGCAAAAUGGUGCCGUAACUUCGGGAGAAGGCACGCUGACACGUAGGUGAAGUGAUUUACUCAUGGAGCUGAAGUCAGUCGAAGAUACCAGCUGGCUGCAACUGUUUAUUAAAAACACAGCACUGUGCAAACACGAAAGUGGACGUAUACGGUGUGACGCCUGCCCGGUGCCGGAAGGUUAAUUGAUGGGGUCAGCGCAAGCGAAGCUCCUGAUCGAAGCCCCGGUAAACGGCGGCCGUAACUAUAACGGUCCUAAGGUAGCGAAAUUCCUUGUCGGGUAAGUUCCGACCUGCACGAAUGGCGUAAUGAUGGCCAGGCUGUCUCCACCCGAGACUCAGUGAAAUUGAACUCGCUGUGAAGAUGCAGUGUACCCGCGGCAAGACGGAAAGACCCCGUGAACCUUUACUAUAGCUUGACACUGAACAUUGAGCCUUGAUGUGUAGGAUAGGUGGGAGGCUUUGAAGUGUGGACGCCAGUCUGCAUGGAGCCGGCCUUGAAAUACCACCCUUUAAUGUUUGAUGUUCUAACGUGGACCCGUGAUCCGGGUUGCGGACAGUGUCUGGUGGGUAGUUUGACUGGGGCGGUCUCCUCCUAAAGAGUAACGGAGGAGCACGAAGGUUGGCUAAUCCUGGUCGGACAUCAGGAGGUUAGUGCAAUGGCAUAAGCCAGCUUGACUGCGAGCGUGACGGCGCGAGCAGGUGCGAAAGCAGGUCAUAGUGAUCCGGUGGUUCUGAAUGGAAGGGCCAUCGCUCAACGGAUAAAAGGUACUCCGGGGAUAACAGGCUGAUACCGCCCAAGAGUUCAUAUCGACGGCGGUGUUUGGCACCUCGAUGUCGGCUCAUCACAUCCUGGGGCUGAAGUAGGUCCCAAGGGUAUGGCUGUUCGCCAUUUAAAGUGGUACGCGAGCUGGGUUUAGAACGUCGUGAGACAGUUCGGUCCCUAUCUGCCGUGGGCGCUGGAGAACUGAGGGGGGCUGCUCCUAGUACGAGAGGACCGGAGUGGACGCAUCACUGGUGUUCGGGUUGUCAUGCCAAUGGCACUGCCCGGUAGCUAAAUGCGGAAGAGAUAAGUGCUGAAAGCAUCUAAGCACGAAACUUGCCCCGAGAUGAGUUCUCCCUGAGACUUAGAGUCUCCUGAAGGAACGUUGAAGACGACGACGUUGAUAGGCCGGGUGUGUAAGCGCAGCGAUGCGUUGAGCUAACCGGUACUAAUGAACCGUGAGGCUUAACCUUACA
rnacentral:rRNA from 1 species